AACAGCAAUACUAAACACUCUGGUUAGAGUAAUGCCAGUGCCUCAGAGGAAAAUGAGUUAAGUUCUCCCAGCCAUUUCUGGCCACUAAUGUACCCAAGCCAAUGGAAGGCUAUUUCAGAGCAGAAGUUAAGCAUUUCAUCCUAAAAUCACGCACAGUCUUUCCCCUAAAAAAAGUUUGUUACCUAGUCAGCAUCCUAUUCAGGGACCUGGGAUGAGGCAAGCUCCACCAGGAAGCACUACUGACAUAAGAUAUCUCAUUUCUAGCUCUGUUACUCCAGUAUUUCCUUUAAGCCAGAGCAAGGCUUUUCCAAGCAAUUUUUUCUGCUUGGCUGGUUCACUGCAGCCUUGUCUUCCCAGCAGAGCACCAGGCACCUGGGCACCUGCAUUCCCUGGGGCCAAGCUGCUGCGCCUGGAGGAGGCUGGUAGAGAGCUGGGCCACCCUGGCACUGGCCCCCCCCCCCACCACCACCACUGAAGGUGGCUGAGGUUGGAAGGCACCUCUGGAGAUCACCUAGUUAAAUCCCAUCUCAAGCAGGGUCACCCAGAACGCAUUAGACAGGAUUGCGUCCAGCCAGCUUUUGACUAUCUCCAAGGAAGGAGACUCCACAGCCUCUCUGGGUAACCUGUUCCAGUGCUCUGUCAUCCUAUAAAUAAAGAAGUUUUUCCUUUUCA